UAACCCUCAGAAGGUUUUUGGCCCCCUCAGUGUCAUUGAUGGUUACAGAGGGCAAGUAAUUGUGGUCAGGAAGGUCCCUUUGACGCUGCAAGUUGGGUGUUCUCUCCCACAAGACUAGGAGGUUUUUAUCUCUUGAAUACCAGAGAACAUAUUGGGCAUUGAUACCCUACAAGGUCAGAAUCUGCAAACCUCUAUUGGUAAAUUCCACCUCCAGGUUAGAAUAACCAAACCAGUGCUGAGGAACAGGGAACAGGACCAACUGGGAACCGGUAAAUCUACUGCCCCACCAAGAGAGGUAAUGCCUCUAUUGCUGCUGUGGAUCUGCCUCCAGCACAGCCAGAGAGCCGCCAAAGAAGCUACCACCACACAGCGAAACCCCAGGCUGACCGCUCAGGGCACACUGCAGAAGAGAGGGGGAUAUGUGAUCGUAUGAGUGGAUCAUGACGGGUGGAGUGUUGGAGGAGGUCCCCGAGAAGACAUGAAUUCUGGUUGACCUGUGGGCUGGACUCCAGCAAUCCAAGGCCCCUCGACCCCUUCCCUGUCCUAUGAAUGUACUUUCUCCCCGCUGUUCCCUUAGCAGGAGCCAUUUUCAAGGACGCAGCCUUAAGAGAACAACGUGUUAUUGAGACCAUCUGGAUGCUAUGUGCGACUGAACCCAAUUAAGGCCUCUGUAGAAACUUUAAAGAUUCUGGUGGGCAGGUGCGGAGAUCUACUCGUCUUGCAACUGCCGAAGACAAGCCUCGAAUAUUUCUCCAGCCUGGAUCUGAAGACAUUAAGGAAGUGAUGACCGUGUUUGAAGGAAUGGCAGACAAGGAAAACAAGGAGAGGGGGAUGGGUGAUAUGUUGGAAAUUUUACGUUGAUUCAAGAUUAGUUGACCUUAGUUUAAAUCUCAUAUUUUUCUUCUCAAAUGAUUACAUAGUUUCCUACUUAAUAAUGACCAGUGCAGAAAGGCUGAGAGACCUUUGAAGUUCAAUUGAUAAAUUAUCUCCAGACCUUGUAAAACUAUCACCAUCCAGCUGGCUUACUGUAUAUUCAAAUUCAAUUUGGGACAAUAAGAAAAUUGUGGCCAUGUGUCGACUUUAGUGCUGUGUGUGUGUGUGUGUGUGUGUGUGCAUGCGUGCACAUGGGGUGCAUAUGCAUGUAUGAUUGUUAGUAGUAUGUGUGUGUGUAUCUGAUUGGAAAUACGGCCAGAUGAAAAAACUGAGCCUAAAUGAUGAAUGCUCAACAGGAGGUUUCUAUGAUCCAGGAACCCAUCUGACUUGAAGCUGUUAAUUUUCUCUGGUAUGUUCCAACGCACUGCCAGGGACAUAUAGGGUUUCUCCGUAGUGAAUGCUAUUAUGCUAUUUCUUAUUCUGCUGCAAGGAGUAGAGGCAAAGACCACAGGAUCUUUGAGAAUAAUUAUUUCUUAGUCAUAUCGGAAAAGAGACUACAUUUUUCUGUGCACGGAUGAGUUUUCUUUCAUCCCAGUGGCCUUCUUUCAAAGCUUUGAGAAUUUUAGCAAGUGGUCUGUCCCCCCCUCCAGCUAGCACAUACAGGCGUGAUGCUGUUUUUAUUAUUAUGGUCUUUUAUAAUCUUUUUAGCACUCUCUCUCUCUCUCUUUCUAUUUUAUAUACAAUAAAAUUACUAUCUACCUUUUAUGGUAAAAUCCACAGUUUGUGUUUCACUUUUCCGCUAAAAACAUUUCUGUUUCUCUCCCUUCCCAAAUUCACUGUUCUGGAAAUUGAAAAUUUACUUCUCUGUUAAACUGCAAGACGUGCCAAACCCCAAAUAGCUCAGGGAUCAUAACUCAGAAGCUGCUGGUUUAGUCGCUUGCAUGCAAAGUCUGUAGAAGUAACCGUGGGCCCGGGGAUAAGUUUCUCAGGACAGCCAGGAAACCCAGCAGGAAGAUACUGAACUUGCCUGAAAGAACUUUCCAGAAGAAUUGUCAGGGAAACUGCUUCAUAUUUUAAACUCUAUGGUAACGCAGACUGCCUCUUUUAGGUAGGUGAAACCUCCUUUUGCAAGUAGAUAAGUGAUUUCUUGGGAAAUAGCACUUGCUUCCCACCUUUUCUUAGGAUUUAAGAGGACUGAACUGGGAUUUAAGAGAUUCAAAUUCUAGUCCCUGCUGAAAAGUUAACUACCUGUGACCUUGGGAAAAUGGCACACUCAGCCUGUUUCCUCAUCUGUAACUUGAGGGGUUUGGACGGAAUGAUUUCUAUGGCUUGCUCCAGCUUUAAAAUCCUGCAAUUCUACGCUAGGGUUCCUUUCCUACAUCCUGCCCCCCCAAAACAAAAAGGGUCAGGAGAAGUGUGUUUUUGUUUUGCUUUGUUUGUGAGUGGGUAUAUUCUUUAUUUUAUUAUUUCCUCGCUUAUAAAAAUAGAAAUGAAUCCCCCUGUGGUCUGUAAGAAGAUUUCAUAUUGAGUGCUACGUGUUACAGCCAGCUUUCCAUUUUAAUCCUCUAAAAAUAGCUGUUAAUACAAAGCAAGUGUAGAUUGUUACAAAGCGCCCUUGCCACCCCACAACCCCCUCACCGACUUGCAACAUUCUGAGUGCACUGCCCUCUAGCCACACAAUUUUCAGCUGUUAAGGAACUGGAGUUUAAAUACAGCCUGACAACAGGGUCUAGUAUUGUAACGGUAUUUUGUGACUUCUUUUGUUUGUUUGUUUUUUGGGUUUUUUUGAGGAAGAUGAGCCCUGAGCUAACAUCUGCUGCCAAUCCUUCUCUUUUUGCCGAGGAAGACUGGCCCUGAACUAACAUCCGUGCCCAUCUUCCUCUACUUUAUGUGUGGGACGCCUACCACAGCAUGGCUUGACAAGUGGUGCCAUGUCAGCACCCAGAUCCUAACUGGCAAACCCCAGGCCGCUGAAUCGGAAUGUGCAAACUUAACCACUGCACAACCGGGCCGGCUGCCGUUUUGUGACUUCUUGAUAUGUCACCCUAUGGUGCCUGGAGUUGCAGUAAGAAGAAGCUGUGAUAAAUAACUGUAUCUCCAAUUCUAUGGUGAUUGCUCUUCCUUUCAAUAAUUUCUCCUUGUGGGAUAAAAUUAGCUCAUGCGUUUUAAAUAUAUAAAUGUGGACAUUCUUGCUAAUAAAUGUGUAACG
rnacentral:lncRNA from 1 species